UACGUAGGUGACUAGCGUUGUCCGGAUUUACUGGGCGUAAAGAGCGCGCAGGCGGUCCUUUAAGUCUGAUGUGAAAGCCCACGGCUCAACCGUGGAGGGUCAUUGGAAACUGGGGGACUUGAGUGCAGGAGAGAAGAGUGGAAUUCCCCGGUGUAGCGGUGAAAUGCGCAGAUAUCGGGAAGAACACCCGUGGCGAAGGCGGCUCUCUGGAACGCAACUGACGCUGAGACGCGAAAGCGUGGGGAGCAAACAGG
rnacentral:rRNA from 1 species